AUUGAACGCUGGCGGCAGGCCUAACACAUGCAAGUCGAGCGGAUGAUGGGAGCUUGCUCCUGGAUUCAGCGGCGGACGGGUGAGUAAUGCCUAGGAAUCUGCCUGGUAGUGGGGGAUAACGUCCGGAAACGGGCGCUAAUACCGCAUACGUCCUGAGGGAGAAAGUGGGGGAUCUUCGGACCUCACGCUAUCAGAUGAGCCUAGGUCGGAUUAGCUAGUUGGUGGGGUAAAGGCCUACCAAGGCGACGAUCCGUAACUGGUCUGAGAGGAUGAUCAGUCACACUGGAACUGAGACACGGUCCAGACUCCUACGGGAGGCAGCAGUGGGGAAUAUUGGACAAUGGGCGAAAGCCUGAUCCAGCCAUGCCGCGUGUGUGAAGAAGGUCUUCGGAUUGUAAAGCACUUUAAGUUGGGAGGAAGGGCAGUAAGUUAAUACCUUGCUGUUUUGACGUUACCAACAGAAUAAGCACCGGCUAACUUCGU
rnacentral:rRNA from 1 species